AAUGAACGUUGGCGGCGUGGAUUAGGCAUGCAAGUCGUACGAGAAUCGUAGCAAUACGAGGAAAGUGGCGAAAGGGAGAGGAUUACGUGGGAAUCUACCCUCAGACCUGGGAUAGCGGCGGGAAACUGCCGGUAAUACCAGAUAAUGUCUGCGGACCAAAGGUGUGAUUCCGUCUGGGGAUGAGCCCACGUCCUAUUAGCUAGUUGGCAGGGUAAUGGCCUACCAAGGCAAUGAUGGGUAGCGGGUGUGAGAGCAUGACCCGCCUCACUGGGACUGAGAACUGCCCAGACACCUACGGGUGGCUGCAGUCGAGAAUCUUCGGCAAUGAGCGCAAGCUUGACCGAGCGACGCCGCGUGCGGGAUGAAGGCCUUCGGUUGUAACCGCUGUCGUAGGGAGGCGAAGAAAUAGAGGGUUCGUCCCGUCCAAAUUUAGAGCGAUCCUAGGAGGAAGGACGGGCGUAAGUUCGUG
rnacentral:rRNA from 1 species